rnacentral:rRNA from 1 species
UACGGGGGGAGCAAGCGUUGUUCGGAUUUACUGGGCGUAAAGGGCGCGUAGGCGGUCGUGACAAGUCACUUGUGAAAUCUCCGGCUUAACUCGGAACGGUCAAGUGAUACUGUCGGACUAGAGUACAGAAGGGGCAACUGGAAUUCUCGGUGUAGCGGUGAAAUGCGUAGAUAUCGAGAGGAACACCUGCGGCGAAGGCGGGUUGCUGGGCUGAUACUGACGCUGAGGCGCGAAAGCCAGGGGAGCGAACGGG